UCUAGCAGCCAUAUCACCCUGCAACUCACAACUGGCAGCCCACUGAAGCAAAACAGGUGGGAGCCUGGACAGUACCUGGAUGGGAGACCUCCUGGGAGAAACUAAGGUUGCUGCUGGGA
rnacentral:rRNA from 1 species